rnacentral:lncRNA from 1 species
AUGUCUCAGUUCCCAGUUGUACUUCCACCACAGAGAAGGGAACCCAUCAGACCCAGCCAAACACAGAAGCGUGUACAGAAAGGCUGCGACGGCUGCAUUAACCUUCACAAAUGCACAGCUGAUAAACACAAUAUUAGUCAACAGAAGGGAUUUAGGAAAUCACAAACCAAUCAGUGGGAUCUGAUGUGUUCAGAGGACCAGGAAGGAGACCCCAUGUCCUCUCUUGUGUCGCCACUAGAGAGCAGCAGCGAGUCACACCUCCCAAACAAUCAGCUGUUUAGACGGCCGUUAGCAGUGUGGCAGGCCAAAUCAGAAAAGAUGGCCUGUUCUGACAAUUUCCAGAAGAAUGAGUCAGCCUGGAUGGAGAAGAUUCCAAGGAAAGGACACCCAGUCUCUCACACCCGGUGUGCCGGUUGUGUGCUGUCUUUUGAAGAAGUGACCAGUCGCACUUUUGCAUCUCUUCAAAGCUCCUGCCACAACACCUGUGACAUGCACCUAGUCCUCAGAGAGGCCACAGAGCGAUUCAGGAGGCAGCACCUUAACUUUGCGCUGAUGAAAAAGCAACAGAACGAUGCUGUAGCGCACACACACACACACUCUAUGAGCGCUUCUCUUCCAAAGUCACAAAGAAGCUGUGAGUGCUCAGGUGGGAGGACGCCUCGAUGUUUGAAUCGGAAAGAAAAUAAAUGUAGCCCUCUUGUUCCAAAAUAUCAGCAAUCUUACAAAUACAUUCUACUGAAACGGAAAGAAAAACAAGUAAACAAAUAG